UCUCCCGCCUUCCUCCUGCGCCCACCUGGGCGAGUUCCCACACACUGGGCCUGAGUUAGGAUGUUUGGGGCUGGGCUGCCACCUUCCACAUUGUUGGAAAUCCCGGAUUAACAGUUUCCCUCAGCUUAUUUCCCAGCUGUCUUGCAGAAAUACUAGCCCUGGGUGCCUCUUAAUCAGCUGGAAUCAGCCUCCAGGAGCUGGUGGGCUUCUUACCACAGAUAUACUCUCCUCUGGCGUCUCCUAAAUCACUUGGCUGCAAGGCCCGAUUCCCUCCUCAUGUCUGUGCCAAGACCUUCCAGCACUGGGUUGCGCUCCUUGUUCAGCUAUCAGGCUGGGCCAGGUUGCUGCUAAGUCAUAAAAGGGCAUCUUCGUACCGAUGAGAAAAAAGGAGUCCUUCCCUCCGGACAGAUGUAGGCACAUGUGAGGGUGGAUUUUUGCCCCAACGUGUUUCUUUCUCAGGUUCCCCAGAGAACAGACUCUGAGACUCGAGAUUUGCGUGCAGGCGUCUUACUGAGGAGUGUUCUCAGGAAUAGCCCCUGAGUGAGGGAGUGAGGGAAGUAGGAUGGGGUAGAGGGAAAAGUUGGACCACAACCGCACGGGAAGCUCCUGGAUUGAGGCAAGGAAGGGGGCAGGCCUUUGUUAUUUCAAACGAGCAGACAUCACUCUGGGACUGAUGUGCCUCUCUUUGGCUGAGGACAGGUCCUGGAGGGGGACUUGGUUACCAGCCAUUAACAGGCAACACUCCCAGCAGCUAGAGGAACGAGUGCUUUGGCUCUGAAGGAGAAAUAUGGGCAGCAUCCACUACAGUCCCCUUGUGUCAUGGACAACCUGAGCAACCACACAGGAAGGUCCUUCUGGGGGUGGCCUGAGGCCAUGAGUUGAAUGGGCAUGAGUUGUCCCAUUGUUUUACUGGGACUGGGGGGGUCUUACUUCUGCAGUUAGGGUGGAUCCCCACUUAGGUACAAGCUGGGACUUAUGCCUAGGCUGUAAGCUCCAUGCGGGUGGGUCUGUGUCUCAUGGUAUCCCCAGAACUUAGCACAGUUUGUGGCUCAAUUAAUAUUUGCUGAUUGAGUCUAUAGUAAUAAAGACAGUCACCUAAAUGCAUUAAUAUAAGCUGUAUUACAAUUGAUGAAGGGAAAUACAUAGAAUGUGACCUAGGAGGGGUCAGGGAAGCUCCCUCGAAGAAAUGACAUGAGCUGAGACCCAAGGGAUGGGUAAGAGUGGGCCAGGCAGAGUGGACUGGGGGUGGGGUGCAUCCCAGCCUCCUAAGAUAGGCAUUUACCUUGGCCACGUCCUGAGGGGGUCUCCUCAUGGAAAAACAGAGGCGACUUGAGAAAUCACAUUCACUGAAAUCUCUCUUGUUAUCUGUUGGUGAAAUGUAUCCUUUGUCCGUAUCACAGCCUUAUCUGGUAUAAGAUUCAUGUGUUAGAGAGCUUUUCCACUGUGGCUUGGCCAGGCCCUGGUGGCAUGAAGGUUGCCUGCACCUGACAGGUGCUUUCUGGAGUGAGAGAUACAGGCCAGGUGUCACAGCUGGAGCUGGGGGCGGAGAUCCCCCUGAACCCCCCAUGGGGUCUCAUGCAUGUGAAGGCCACCUAUUGUGGAGGAGCUGAGGCUGGAAGCAGCUGGGCUUCAGAUCUAAACUCUUGCUUCCUCUUCGUCCUCAUCUCCAUCCUGCCCCUGGCUUUGCCCCUCUCCAGGCCUGUCUCCAGACUCCUCACUGCCCCAGGAGCAUAUUCUGCUCAUUUUGCCUCCACUCCUGUGCAUGAGUCCUCCCCUUUCUCCAGGACCACCGCUCUACUCAGAAAAGCCACCCAAAGCACCGCCAUGGAGCCCUGGCCAGCAACUCCAGGUCAUACGGAACUCACCCCUUUCUGCAUUUCUACAGCCCUCAGCUGUAGAUUCUUUAGGGCAGAGGCUGGUUUAGAAAUCCGGGCCUGGUACCAUACCUGGUCGAGAGCAAGAAGGUUGGGAGAGGCUGGAGGAGAGGAGAAGCCCUGAAGGAAAACCCAUUGUGCUUGUCCCUGCCAUGAUGCCCUGGUUGGCGCCGGGCAGUGUGAGUGGUGGCCUGGACGACGUCUGCUGGCCUCCCAGCCAGGUGCACUGUGAGGGGUGCCGCGGGCCUGCCUUCUGCUGUUGGUGGUGGGUGGCAGCAACGGCCGGGAGGGGGAAGAUGGAAAGUUCAUAUUUAUCACGUCUGGGGCUUUGCCUGCCUUGUUCUUAAUCAGUCUACAGCUAAUUAGUCGCCUCCCCCAGCUGGCAGAGCACCAUGAAUCACCAAGGAAAAGGCUGAAGUCAGCCGGCCUCCUGCUCAGGGGAAUCCCGGCUCAUUGGGUGGGCCCUUCUUGCCUGGGGCAUUAUGAGGGCCACAGGAUGCAGGAGCUCCUCUGGAAAGAAUCUGAGGUUGUUGGGAAGGGGCCCUGGGGUCCUGUGCCACCUAGGGUGCCUGUAGGGGGAAGGGUGUGGCAUCAUCCUCUUUGCUGCAACGUAAAGGCUCACUUUCCCAAACUCACUUGCAGCCAGGAAAGGCAUGGGACACAGUUUAGACCAAUGGGGCAUAAGCUGAAACCUGCUGGGGGCUCUUAGGAAGGCUUUUCCUUUCUUGAUAAAGGGCGUUGGAUGCUGCUGGUGCUGGCCCUUCUUGCCCUUUCUUCUUUUUGCCUUGAAUGCAGACUUGAAGGCUGGAGCUGCAGCAGCCAUCAGCUUCUAUGAGGGAAAGACCAAGAGAAUUGUAAUGACACACACCGGCCAUGAGCUGACAAACCAACUUGCCUACCUCCAGAUUUCUGUCAGGACUGUGAGUUUCAUGAGGGCAGAACUGAUAUCUCAUCACUGGGAUUUCUGGUCCCAGCUUGUUGCUGGGCGUCCUAAGGAGCGCUUGAAGAUUGGCCACAUUCUCAGGGGCUCCCAAGAGUCAGGGUUCUCAAGCUACUCAAGGGGCACACUGGAGCUGUCUUCUGGAGCCAAGCCUGGGAGGGAAUGUGGCUUUCUCUUGAACUUUCUGGGUGAG